ensembl:lncRNA
AAAUAAGCCACAUUCCAUGGAACUCUUUGUUCUUGUGUGUUUAGGGGGAAAAAGUGAUACCUAUAAGCAGUGCUCUCCAAGCUUUAGUAGAUUUUUCUCUGUCUGCUGUAUUCAGGUGGCUUUUGUGCAGAGAACUGCUCCUUGCAGAGCAUGCCUUGCCCAACCCCAAGGUGGGAAUUAAGCUCUUUGCCUGAGAAGUGAUAUUAUCAGCUCUGCUCUCAAACCCCAUUGUGCCUGAAUAGAGCUGGAGCAAGUGGGGAUAGAGGCGAAGAGACCAUAAUGACUCCUUUUUGAAGCCACACAAAAGGCAGCCAGGACUUCAGCAGGAAACCUGAGGAGUUGAGAGGCAGCACCGAGGUCUCAGUGGACAUGGGGUAUUUAUUCUCCUUCUCUUUGCUGGCCCUGGAGGGUUUGUGGAGCGGCCAGAGCAAGCAGCGAGCAAGUAACCGCCUGCCUGAUAAAGGCAGAAUUGAUGAUGCAAUGCAGCGGUUGAGUACAAGAAUGGAUGCAUACAAACCAGAUGAGCCACUUCCCAACAGAAACAAGUGGCGAACCACCUAUGGCCAUCACUGAGCUAAGUGAAUCUGGAAACCUCUCCCUGCAUCUGCUUGGGAACUUGGAGCUGGAGGCCUGCUCUCAUCCUCAUCAUGACUGGGAUGAGCCAAAGCCAAUGUUUGUCUUGCGGAUCCCCAAACUCCUGCUGUUUCCAAGAAAGUGUGGGAAAGAAGAAGAAGAAUCUCUUUAAACUUAGCAUUGGAGGAGCUGCUGUGACUUUCUUUUUCCAUUCUUCUCCUUAGGUGAAUUUCAAUAAGGUGACCGCCCGUCUUGCACAAGCUGCAGCUGCUGUAAAUCCACGCUCAAAAUGUCAGAGUCGUAAACUAUUUUGAUGAAAUGCCAUCAAAGAAAUCAUAUUUAUCGGGAUGAUUUGUUGAUACUGAAUAUCCAAACAGUUCGGAGCGCAGUAAAGUUCAGGGGGAUGCAGGGAUUUAUGGUUCUCUGUCGCUGGGGUUGUUAAUAACAUUUCAGGAGACUAAACAAGAAUGUUCCAGGGACGUGGAUGGCUCAGGCAGGGGACGGACAAAGAAUUUCUUAGUUCUGAAAAGAGCAAAAAGAUCAUUGGUGUGUUUAUGGAAACAGAUUAUAGACCCAUUAUGUUAAAAAUCUGCCUGGACCUGAGGAGUUACUCAUUGUGACCUUUGUUUCUGGCCCAUUUGGGGCCUUUUUAUAAUCUUUUUUUUUUUUCUUUUUUUUCAGAAAUCUGGAACCUUGAGAAGAAUGAAACAUUUCAUCAGAAACCAAUUCCACUCCAUCUGGUUUUGACACCAGAAAGGGUUGAGAUCAUCCGGUGGAAGAUGCUAUGGAUGAGUGAAGUCUCUUUAUUGAAUUCCAUGGCCGUGGUACUGCCAGUUCACUCCUUCCCUCUUGUCUCACAAAACAGCCCUGCAGUGGGUACCAGGCAUUGGUGUGCAAUGACCAUUCCACAGGGUGCUCCCCAGAGGAAUUUUGGCCUGACUUUGUAUAGUUUUAGUUUCACAGAGUUAUUGAAUCAUUCAGGUUGGAGAAGACCUCUGAGAUCACCAAGUCCAACCCCAACCCAUCUCACCAUGCCCACUGACCACGUCCCUCAGUGCCACAUCUCCAUGGUUCUGGAACACCUCCAGGGAUGAUGACCCCACCACCUCCCUGGGCAGCUGUGCCACUGCCUGUCUGCUCUGUUGGAGAAGAAACGUUCCUAAUAUGCAACCUGAAUCUUCGCUGUUGCAUCGUGAGGCCAUCACCUCUCAUCCUCAGCCUCUGCAUCCUCCAGUUUGCAUAUCAAGCAAAUCUUGGG